UACGGAGGGAGCUAGCGUUGUUCGGAAUUACUGGGCGUAAAGCGCGCGUAGGCGGCUUUGUAAGUUAGAGGUGAAAGCCCGGGGCUCAACCCCGGAAUUGCCUUUAAGACUGCAUCGCUUGAAUCCGGGAGAGGUGAGUGGAAUUCCGAGUGUAGAGGUGAAAAUUCGUUAGAUAUUCGGAAGAACACCAGUGGCGAAAGGCGGCUCACUGGACCGGGCAUUGACGCUGAGGUGCGAAAGCGUGGGGAGCAAACAGG
rnacentral:rRNA from 1 species